rnacentral:rRNA from 1 species
UUUAUGGAGAGUUUGAUCCUGGCUCAGGAUGAACGCUGGCGGCGUGCCUAAUACAUGCAAGUCGAGCGAACAGACAAGGAGCUUGCUCCUUUGACGUUAGCGGCGGACGGGUGAGUAACACGUGGGUAACCUACCUAUAAGACUGGGAUAACUUCGGGAAACCGGAGCUAAUACCGGAUAAUAUUUCGAACCGCAUGGUUCGAUAGUGAAAGAUGGUUUUGCUAUCACUUAUAGAUGGACCCGCGCCGUAUUAGCUAGUUGGUAAGGUAACGGCUUACCAAGGCGACGAUACGUAGCCGACCUGAGAGGGUGAUCGGCCACACUGGAACUGAGACACGGUCCAGACUCCUACGGGAGGCAGCAGUAGGGAAUCUUCCGCAAUGGGCGAAAGCCUGACGGAGCAACGCCGCGUGAGUGAUGAAGGUCUUCGGAUCGUAAAACUCUGUUAUUAGGGAAGAACAUACGUGUAAGUAACUAUGCACGUCUUGACGGUACCUAAUCAGAAAGCCACGGCUAACUACGUGCCAGCAGCCGCGGUAAUACGUAGGUGGCAAGCGUUAUCCGGAAUUAUUGGGCGUAAAGCGCGCGUAGGCGGUUUUUUAAGUCUGAUGUG